UGGGGAAUUUUGGACAAUGGGGGAAACCCUGAUCCAGCCAUCCCGCGUGUGCGAUGAAGGCCUUCGGGUUGUAAAGCACUCUUGGCAGGAAAGAAACGUCAUGGGUUAAUACCCCGUGCAACUGACGGUACCUGCAGAAUAAGCACCGGCUAACUACGUGCCAGCAGCCGCGGUAAUACGUAGGGUGCAAGCGUUAAUCGGAAUUACUGGGCGUAAAGCGUGCGCAGGCGGUUCGGAAAGAAAGAUGUGAAAUCCCAGAGCUCAACUUUGGAACUGCAUUUUUAACUACCGGGCUAGAGUGUGUCAGAGGGAGGUGGAAUUCCGCGUGUAGCAGUGAAAUGCGUAGAUAUGCGGAGGAACACCGAUGGCGAAGGCAGCCUCCUGGGAUAACACUGACGCUCAUGCACGAAAGCGUGGGGAGCAAACAGG
rnacentral:rRNA from 1 species